rnacentral:rRNA from 1 species
UACGUAGGGUGCGAGCGUUGUCCGGAAUUACUGGGCGUAAAGAGCUCGUAGGUGGUUUGUCGCGUUGUUCGUGAAAACCUAAGGCUUAACCUUGGGCGUGCGGGCGAUACGGGCAGACUGGAGUACUGCAGGGGAGACUGGAAUUCCUGGUGUAGCGGUGGAAUGCGCAGAUAUCAGGAGGAACACCGGUGGCGAAGGCGGGUCUCUGGGCCGAUACUGACGCUGAGGAGCGAAAGCGUGGGGAGCGAACAGG